UACGUAGGGUGCAAGCGUUGUCCGGAAUUAUUGGGCGUAAAGAGCUCGUAGGUGGUCUGUUGCGUCGGCUGUGAAAUCCCGAGGCUCAACCUCGGGCCUGCAGCCGAUACGGGCAGGCUGGAGUUCGGUAGGGGAGACUGGAAUUCCGUGGUGUAGCGGUGAAAUGCGCAGAUAUCAGGAAGAACACCCGUGGCGAAGGCGGCUCUCUGGGACGGUACUGACGCUGAGACGCGAAAGCGUGGGGAGCGAACAAG
rnacentral:rRNA from 1 species